UACGGAGGGUGCAAGCGUUGCUCGGAAUUAUUGGGCGUAAAGGGUAGGUAGGUGGUCUCAUUUGUCUGGGGUGAAAUCCUUGAGCUUAACUCAAGAAGUGCCUCAGAAACGGUGAGACUAGAGUUCUGGAGAGGGUCGUGGAAUUCCCGGUGUAGCGGUGAAAUGCGUAGAGAUCGGGAGGAACACCAGAGGCGAAGGCGGCGACCUGGACAGAUAUUGACGCUGAGACGCGAAAGCGUGGGUAGCAAACAGG
rnacentral:rRNA from 1 species